rnacentral:rRNA from 1 species
GGGUUGUGAGGUUAAGCGACUAAGCGUACACGGUGGAUGCCCUGGCAGUCAGAGGCGAUGAAGGACGUGCUAAUCUGCGAUAAGCGUCGGUAAGGUGAUAUGAACCGUUAUAACCGGCGAUUUCCGAAUGGGGAAACCCAGUGUGAUUCGUCACACUAUCAUUAACUGAAUCCAUAGGUUAAUGAGGCGAACCGGGGGAACUGAAACAUCUAAGUACCCCGAGGAAAAGAAAUCAACCGAGAUUCCCCCAGUAGCGGCGAGCGAACGGGGAGCAGCCCAGAGCCUGAAUCAGUGUGUGUGUUAGUGGAAGCGUCUGGAAAGGCGCGCGAUACAGGGUGACAGCCCCGUACACAAAAAUGCACAUAUUGUGAGCUCGAUGAGUAGGGCGGGACACGUGGUAUCCUGUCUGAAUAUGGGGGGCCCAUCCUCCAAGGCUAAAUACUCCUGACUGACCGAUAGUGAACCAGUACCGUGAGGGAAAGGCGAAAAGAACCCCGGCGAGGGGAGUGAAAAAGAACCUGAAACCGUGUACGUACAAGCAGUGGGAGCACGCUUAGGCGUGUGACUGCGUACCUUUUGUAUAAUGGGUCAGCGACUUAUAUUCUGUAGCAAGGUUAACCGAAUAGGGGAGCCGAAGGGAAACCGAGUCUUAACUGGGCGUUAAGUUGCAGGGUAUAGACCCGAAACCCGGUGAUCUAGCCAUGGGCAGGUUGAAGGUUGGGUAACACUAACUGGAGGACCGAACCGACUAAUGUUGAAAAAUUAGCGGAUGACUUGUGGCUGGGGGUGAAAGGCCAAUCAAACCGGGAGAUAGCUGGUUCUCCCCGAAAGCUAUUUAGGUAGCGCCUCGUGAAUUCAUCUCCGGGGGUAGAGCACUGUUUCGGCAAGGGGGUCAUCCCGACUUACCAACCCGAUGCAAACUGCGAAUACCGGAGAAUGUUAUCACGGGAGACACACGGCGGGUGCUAACGUCCGUCGUGAAGAGGGAAACAACCCAGACCGCCAGCUAAGGUCCCAAAGUCAUGGUUAAGUGGGAAACGAUGUGGGAAGGCCCAGACAGCCAGGAUGUUGGCUUAGAAGCAGCCAUCAUUUAAAGAAAGCGUAAUAGCUCACUGGUCGAGUCGGCCUGCGCGGAAGAUGUAACGGGGCUAAACCAUGCACCGAAGCUGCGGCAGCGACGCUUAUGCGUUGUUGGGUAGGGGAGCGUUCUGUAAGCCUGCGAAGGUGUGCUGUGAGGCAUGCUGGAGGUAUCAGAAGUGCGAAUGCUGACAUAAGUAACGAUAAAGCGGGUGAAAAGCCCGCUCGCCGGAAGACCAAGGGUUCCUGUCCAACGUUAAUCGGGGCAGGGUGAGUCGACCCCUAAGGCGAGGCCGAAAGGCGUAGUCGAUGGGAAACAGGUUAAUAUUCCUGUACUUGGUGUUACUGCGAAGGGGGGACGGAGAAGGCUAUGUUGGCCGGGCGACGGUUGUCCCGGUUUAAGCGUGUAGGCUGGUUUUCCAGGCAAAUCCGGAAAAUCAAGGCUGAGGCGUGAUGACGAGGCACUACGGUGCUGAAGCAACAAAUGCCCUGCUUCCAAGGAAAAGCCUCUAAGCAUCAGGUAACAUCAAAUCGUACCCCAAACCGACACAGGUGGUCAGGUAGAGAAUACCAAGGCGCUUGAGAGAACUCGGGUGAAGGAACUAGGCAAAAUGGUGCCGUAACUUCGGGAGAAGGCACGCUGAUAUGUAGGUGAAGUCCCUUGCGGAUGGAGCUGAAAUCAGUCGAAGAUACCAGCUGGCUGCAACUGUUUAUUAAAAACACAGCACUGUGCAAACACGAAAGUGGACGUAUACGGUGUGACGCCUGCCCGGUGCCGGAAGGUUAAUUGAUGGGGUCAGCGCAAGCGAAGCUCUUGAUCGAAGCCCCGGUAAACGGCGGCCGUAACUAUAACGGUCCUAAGGUAGCGAAAUUCCUUGUCGGGUAAGUUCCGACCUGCACGAAUGGCGUAAUGAUGGCCAGGCUGUCUCCACCCGAGACUCAGUGAAAUUGAACUCGCUGUGAAGAUGCAGUGUACCCGCGGCAAGACGGAAAGACCCCGUGAACCUUUACUAUAGCUUGACACUGAACAUUGAGCCUUGAUGUGUAGGAUAGGUGGGAGGCUUUGAAGUGUGGACGCCAGUCUGCAUGGAGCCGGCCUUGAAAUACCACCCUUUAAUGUUUGAUGUUCUAACGUGGACCCGUGAUCCGGGUUGCGGACAGUGUCUGGUGGGUAGUUUGACUGGGGCGGUCUCCUCCUAAAGAGUAACGGAGGAGCACGAAGGUUGGCUAAUCCCUGGUCGGACAUCAGGAGGUUAGUGCAAUGGCAUAAGCCAGCUUGACUGCGAGCGUGACGGCGCGAGCAGGUGCGAAAGCAGGUCAUAGUGAUCCGGUGGUUCUGAAUGGAAGGGCCAUCGCUCAACGGAUAAAAGGUACUCCGGGGAUAACAGGCUGAUACCGCCCAAGAGUUCAUAUCGACGGCGGUGUUUGGCACCUCGAUGUCGGCUCAUCACAUCCUGGGGCUGAAGUAGGUCCCAAGGGUAUGGCUGUUCGCCAUUUAAAGUGGUACGCGAGCUGGGUUUAGAACGUCGUGAGACAGUUCGGUCCCUAUCUGCCGUGGGCGCUGGAGAACUGAGGGGGGCUGCUCCUAGUACGAGAGGACCGGAGUGGACGCAUCACUGGUGUUCGGGUUGUCAUGCCAAUGGCACUGCCCGGUAGCUAAAUGCGGAAGAGAUAAGUGCUGAAAGCAUCUAAGCACGAAACUUGCCCCGAGAUGAGUUCUCCCUGACCCUUUAAGGGUCCUGAAGGAACGUUGAAGACGACGACGUUGAUAGGCCGGGUGUGUAAGCGCAGCGAUGCGUUGAGCUAACCGGUACUAAUGAACCGUGAGGCUUAACCUUACAACGCCGAAG